rnacentral:lncRNA from 1 species
GAACAAUUAGAACAACUGUAUAAACUUUUUCAGUCCACACAAGUGACUAAUCCAGUAUCUUCUUCUUGUUCCUUAGCCCAAAAAGGUACUUAUCAAUCUGUUGUCUUUAAUGUGUCCACUAUUCCGCUUUGUCUAUGGAUAAUAGUUUCAGGUGCCACCGAUCAUAUGACUGGAUGCUCUAAAAUAUUUUCUUUCUAUAGUCCUUGUGCAGGCAAUCAAAAAAUUAAGAUUGCUGAUGGCUCACUCUCGGCAAUUGCUGGGAAAGGGUCAAUUGUUAUCUCUAAUACUCUCAUUCUUCACAAUGUCCUUCAUGUUCCCAAUCUCUCUUGUAAUCUUUUGUCUGUAAGUAAAAUAACUCGUGAUUUAAAGUGCUGUGCUAAAUUUCUUCCAAAUUGUUGUGAAUUUCAGGAACUGGAAACGGGGAGGAUGAUUGGCAAUGCUAGAGAGUAUGGCGGUCUCUAUUACUUUGAUGAUGGGAACUCUAUGUGUUAGCAACAGAAAAUUUCGAAUCUCGGAGCAUGCUUUAGUUCUACUGAUGAUAACAUAAUGUUAUGGCACCGUAGGUUAGGCCAUCCUAGCUUUUUAUAUUUAAAACAUUUGUUUCCAAACUUAUUUCGUAAUAAACUUUUAUUGUCAUUUCAAUGCGAUAUUUGUCAGUUAGCUAAACAUCAUCAUGCAUCUUUUCCUAUUCAACCAUAUAAAGCAUCCAAGCCUUUUACCCUUAUUCAUAGUGAUGUGUGGGGUCCCUUUAGGACAUUCACCAAUUUUGGAAAAAGAUGGUUUAUAACAUUUAUUGAUGACCAUACACGCCUAAGUUGGGUCUAUCUACUCAAAGAAAAAUCUGAAGCAGAACAUGUUUUAAAAAACUUUUAUAAUAUGGUUGAAACACAAUUUCAAACAAAAAUUCAAGUCUUUCAAAGUGACAAUGGGAAGGAAUACUUUAAUCAAAUAUUGGGGUCAUUUUUCUUAGAAAAAGGAAUUGUUCAUCACAGCUCUUGUAAUGACACUCCUCAACAAAACGGAAUAGCAGAACGAAAAAAUAAGCACCUAUUAGAAGUAGCUAGGUCUUUAAUGUUCACCACUAAAGUUCCUAAAUACUUAUGGGGGGAAGCAAUUCUUACUGCUACAUAUCUUAUUAAUAGGAUGCCAUCAAGAGUUUUGAACUUUCAGCCACCAUUGACCGUUUUUAAAAAAUUCUUUCCAAUGACACGUUUGACUUUAGAUUUACCUUUAAAGGUCUUUGGAUGUGUUGCCUUUGUACAUAUACACAAUCAUAAUAGGGAUAAACUAGAUCCAAGGGCUGUAAAGUGUGUUUUUCUGGGCUAUUCGCCUACUCAAAAAGGGUAUAAAUGUUUUGAUCCUAACAAACAAAAAUAUUUUGUCACGAUGGAUGUUACCUUCUUUGAGUCUCAAAGUUUUUUUAAUCCUCCUCUUCAGGGGGGGAAAGGAAAUGAAGACUCGGUGUUUGAGCUUGACAUGAAUACUAAUGGUGAGACAAAUAUUGAAACUGAAAUUUUUAAUCCUAAUACCUUGAAUAAGGAGGAUAGGAGGAUUACCUUAGUACCUGAACAUAAAAUUGACACUACGAUAAUAGACGAGGCACGCUUCAAUGAUGAGAGAUUGUUUGGGAAAACUUACACUAGGGAGAAACGGAUUCAAAGUAAGAAAGAUGCAGUGAUACUUCCUCAACGCCAUGAAUCUGAUCCAAUUCCAGAUCCGAAAAACAUUGAUUCUGAAAAUCCAGGUACAAUCUCUAAAUUUAUAGAGUCUGAAUCCUUAUCUAUCCCACAAGUACAUUCUGACCCUCUAGAUCUUCCCAUUGCUCUUAGGAAAAGAAUUAGGUCAUGUACUCAACAUCCCCUUUCCAAUUUUGUGUCUUAUAAGAACCUGUCAUCAUCUUAUCAUACUUUUGUCUCACAAUUGUCAAGUGUGGAUAUACCUAAGUCUAUACAGGAAGCGCUAAAGGUUCCUGAAUGGAAGAAGGCUGUUCGUGAAGAAAUGGAGGCUCUAGAAAAAAACAGAACGUGGGAGAUGGUUUAUUUGCCUAAAGGAAAAUUGAUUGUUGGUUGUAAGUGGAUUUUCACUGUGAAAUACAACUCAGAUGGAUCCUUGAAACGCUAUAAAGCAAGGUUAGUAGCAAAAGGAUUCACACAAACCUACGGAGUUGAUUAUCAAGAGACAUUUGCUCCCGUAGCCAAACUAAAUACCAUUCGAAUACUACUCUCUGUAGCUGUUAAUUUGGAGUGGCCAUUGUUUCAAUUGGAUGUUAAAAAUGCGUUUCUCAAUGAAGAAUUGGAAGAGGAAGUAUAUAUGGGUGCGCCCCCUGGUUUUGAAGACAAGUUUGGAGGAAAGGUAUGUAAAUUGAAGAAAUCCCUUUAUGGACUGAAGCGGUCUCCUCGUGCUUGGUUCAAGAGAUUUACCAGGUUUGUUAGAAAAGAAGGAUAUAGUCAAGGACAAUCUGAUCAUACAAUGUUCGUGAAACACACAGAUGGUGGAAAGAUGGCUAUCUUGAUUGUAUACGUAGAUGACAUAAUACUUACUGGAAGCGAUGGUGAUGAGAUGAGUAGGCUGAAGAAGCACCUGGCAUCGGAAUUUGAAAUUAAGGAUUUGGGUCUUACGCUAUUUCUUGGGUAUGGAAGUUGCAAGAUCUAGAAUAGGAAUUUCUGUGUCACAAAGAAAGUAUGUUUUGGACUUGCUAGAGGAGACAGGAAUGAGUGGUUGCAGACCAAGUGAUAUGCCCGUGGAUCUUAAUCAGAAGUUAGGAGAGGUUUUCGAUGGAGUUCCAGUUGAUAAAGGUAGAUAUCAACGUCUUGUAGGAAAACUCAUUUAUUUAUCUCACACAAGACCUGAUAUUGCCUUUGUCGUUAGUGCUGUAAGUCAAUAUAGGCACUCACCCUGUGUGGAACAUUUGGAGGCAGUUCACAAGAUUCUCAGGUACUUAAAGAGUACACCUGGAAGAGGGUUAUUAUUUAAGAAGAGUGAUCAAAUGAGUGUAGAAGUCUUCACAGAUGCAGACUGGGCAGGCUCAAUUUCAGAUAGAAGAUCAACAUCUGGUUACUGUACGUUCUUAUAGGGAAAUUUAAUUACUUGGCGAAGCAAAAAACAAAACGUGGUUGCCAGGAGUAGUACUGAAGCUGAGUUUAGGGCCAUGGCAAAUGGAGUUUGCUAGGUGUUAUGGAUUAAAAGAGUCCUUGGAGAACUGAAAUUAGAUAUUGAAGCACCUAUGAGACUGUUCUGUGACAAUAAAUCAGCAAUAAGCAUUGCAAAUAAUCCUGUUCAGCAUGAUCGUACAAAGCACAUUGAGAUUGAUAGGCAUUUUAUUAAAGAAAACCUGGAAAAUGGAGUUAUAUGUAUGCCGUUCAUCCCUUCAGAGCAACAAACAGCAGAUGUUCUUACCAAGGGACACUUCAGGCCAAAGUUUGAAUCUUUCAUUGACAAGUUGGGCAUGAUUAAUAUCUAUGCACCAACUUGAGGGGUGGUGUAGAAAAUAUGGAAAGAUUAGAUUAGUUGACAUUCCUGAUUUCUAGGAUUAGUUGUCUAAUUUGUCUGAUUUGUACAGCUAUUACUAAUUUGUAUAUUUCCAAAAAUUAUGAAUGUGUAGUCCUAUAAAUUAACCCUAUUGUAGUAACAGAAAGCAGAUCUGAAAAAUAAGAAAAGAUAUUUAUUCUUCUCCUUUGUUAACAGUAACAAACAUUUUUUUUAAAAUAGGAUCAAAACAUUUAUAACCCUUUUGUGUUGGAGAAUAUCCAACAAAAAUGCAUUUUCUAGCCUUUGGAGCAAGUUUGCCCCGAUUCUGGUUGUGAAUAUGGACAAAAGCAACACAACCGAAUAUUUUGGGUGGAAGUGUGACUGAAAUUCGUGAGGUAGAGAAACAUUGAUUAAAGAAAUCAGAUGGAGUUUGAAAUUGUAGAACUUUUGAAGGCAUUCGAUUUAUCAAAUAGGCAGCGGUGAGUACAGCUUCCCCCCACAAAUACAUAGGAACUUGAGUUGUAAAAAGUAAGGAUCUAGCAACUUCAAUGAGAUGCUUAUUUUUGCGUUCAGCAAUUCCAUUUUGUUGGGGGGUAUCCGUACAUGAACUUUAAUGAAACAUGCCAUUCUUUUCAGUCUAGUAAACUAUUUAUUUAUUUAUUUUUGGGUUAUGGAUGCAGCUGUUAGAUUUUAUUUUCUCAAUGAAGUUCCUUUAUUUAUCCAAUUGCUAUGUCAGGCUAAGCAGAUUUUCAUUAAAAAGCCAGACACAUGCUUGACAUGCAAAUUUAAUAUUGCUGCUGUUGAUUGUGCAUUACUUCAAAAUAACGGAUCUAUUCAGAUAUAAAAGUAUAAUUGUAAAUAUUUAGAGUCUGAAAAUACUAUUUUUCUUAUUUCAUUCAUUCUACAAGUUACACUUAAAUAGAAUGUAGAAAACAAACUCCUAAUAGAUAUCCCCUAAUUGUAGGAUACUUAUCUAAACUUGAAUUUAAAAAAAUGAUUAUCUAAAACUUUAUUCUGAUAAAACUUUAACACUAAACUAAUUAUCUAAAAUUUUAUUCUGAUAAGACUUUCAAACUAACUGAAAAAUCCUAACUUCUUGACAAUAAUAAAUACUUGUCUUGCUAACUUUGAUGCAUGUGUUUCUCAAAAUGAAAGUUAUUCACAAACUUCAUAAUGUUCCUUUUGGUAUUUUCAGAAUUUGGUUGAUUCUAAUUCCCUUCCCAUUGCAGCAAAAUCAAAAUGGUCAAUGAUCUGCUCGAGGGCGUUCAUCUUAUUGCUUCUGUAGAGGCUAUUUCUCUUGGAGUUCAAUUUGGGAUUCAUCCAUGGGUUCUCUAUGAUAUCAUUUCAAAUGCUGCUGGAAAUUCAUGGUUUGUUGCUACCUGUCUCAUUUUUCUAUCCGUUUCUCCCUGAUGACAGUUUCAUGAUGUUCAAAGUUCAAACAGAAAUACAAAAGCAGAGAAAAAAAUUUAGCAACUAUAGAUGCUCUUAAUUCAGUAGCUGGUUCAGUAGUUGGAUGAUGUUUAGUUAAUCUUUUGUCUUAUUGUUGAUAGUACAACAACUUGGAAACUGUUUCAAGGGUUUCGGGCGUUAUUGUGGUUGACAAAAUUAGAGUUCGGGGUAUCAUGAUAAUUUUAAAAAUUGACAUUGACGUAAAUGUUUUAGUUGUCAAGUCGUCUUGGAGUUCUACUGAUAGGACAAGAAACCAAAAUGAAAGCUUGAAAAUUAUUAAUUUUUCCUUUAUCUCCCUCUCUCUUUUUAUUAAUAUGUUAAGAAAUGGAAAAAAAAACAAAAUAUAGUUUGAACUUCAGAGGGUUUUCAGAAAAGCCAUUAGAAAGAAGCUGAUCUAACUGUCCACCCAUCUUCCACAGAAGACGAUGAGAAUAGAAAAUGCACAUCAGAAACUAGCUCUCUGAUCACACUACAUGCAUCCCUACUAUGAUGACGGAAAACUGGUCUCUGAAACGCUAAAAAAUGGAAAACAUACUGAAAUCUAAUUAUAUCAUGUAAAACUUGAACUUCCCUCUUUACUUUUAAAAUUUUUUCUAUUGCUGUCCAAAGAAUAGCCUCAACAAGCUAGCUCUAUAUCUCUCUAGCUUGCCUACCUUAAUUGGAAGCACAAAUGAUUGUCUAUGAGAAAUGAUAUGCAAGAAGUCAGAAUCACCCAUGCAACACGGAAACUGAGAAGAGUUUAUCCCAUAAUUGCAAAACAAUGUGAUUAUGAAGAAAGAGAUUGUCAAUACAUUCUUUAAGGUUUUAAUAACUGUAGUCAACCAAUUUUACAGUCAUUAGGAAGGAAGAAAAAGAAAAAAAGAUAAGAAAAGAGAAGGUUUGUUAAAAUUGAACCUUGACGCCACAAGAGAUUUACAAUUAAUUAAACGUAGGCACACAUAAUUGGCAAUUCAGGAAGUUUCUGGCCUCUACAUAAGGAAAAGUAAUUGAUUGGUUAAACUUUGAAUGAUCUCUUGCCCUUCUUGCUCUUUGAGUUGAGGGAAAAAUAAAAAGGGUAACAGAGAGAAGGUUUGUUAGAACUGAACCUUAAUGCUGCAUUAGAUUUAAUAAAAUUAGACAACAUAUAGACAGUAAUUCUGAAAAAUAGUAGAACUAAUCUAGCAAAUUGUAAUAACUCUAUUUUUUUUAUUUUGACAACUAAUUAACUACCAAAAUAUGUUGCCAUGCACUUGAAGGUAUGUAUGGAUUACACUUUAAAUUGCUAGAUGGUGAUUAGGAGAAUGCAUGGCAUCAAUAAUUAAGAUUGUCUAAUGACAGUUUGAGCUGUAUAUGUCCUAAUAUUAUAUUGUGCUUCUAUCCUUCAUUUUUUAACUGAUUUAUUCUUUCCUGAUCAACAUCUAAUUUCUGUGAUUUGUUACUGCUUUCUCAUAUGUUCGAUUGCAUAACUUUGUGGAGUAUAAAUGACCUGACAAGUUAUUAGUUUACCUCUCUAAAUGUAGGACAGGUUGUGAAGGUGACAAAGUUUGAGUCACAGUCUAUGGCUGAUCUGGCCCCAUUAAUCGUUAAUUUAAGCUCAACAGUGACUAGCGAUUGAAUUGGUUCUUAUUUUACUUUGUAUUCUGUACACAAUAAUUAAUUGAUAUAAUGAUCUAAGCUAUCAGCUGAAUCUUUUGUUUUUCACAUUUUUUAAAUGGUUUAUGUGCGCUUGUUUCCCGCUGGCAAACUAUUAUGACUGCUUCUACAAGCACUUAUGUUUUCUGCCUUUGCGUUUGCUGAAAAUUUGUUUCUGAGUUUGGGAAGUGAUGUUCAUGCUGCAGGAUUUUCAAGAAUUAUAUUCCCAAUCUGUUGAGGGGUGAUGCCAAACUUCAUUUCCUUAAUGCGUUCAUUCAGAAUUUGGUAAGAAGAGAUUCUUACUUUUGUUGGAUGUGGUUACUUCUUAGGGAUGCACUUUUUUGUAUCUGUAUUUAGCAUUAUUUUGAAGAGUUUGCUAGGAAAAUUUACUGUUGCACUAAUGUUUUAGAAGCUCAUGUAUUUCCUAUAGUAUUAUUCUGUAACUAUUUUGAGCCAAAGAUUUUAUGGAUUACUUAAUCUAAAGUUUAUGUGGCAAUUUUGAUCCUGGAUAAUUCAUGUAGUUUUGGCAAGAAACCAGAGUGUUGUAUAUUUUUUAGGAACUACACCUCUCGACUGAACCUACAAAAAGCUGAUAGACUUUAGCUUAAUCCUCUAUGAGCUAGUUUUUGGAAUGUAAAUUCAUUGACACUUAUAUACAUAAAUUCUCUAUGCUUUUUCAAUCUUAUAAAAUUUCACAUGGUUUUGCUCUACAACCAAAUUGUUCCAAAUACUUCGAAGGAUUUAAUUCCCAUGCAAUGUCUAGUUUGAUAAAGUUGAUAUACUCCUGUGUAACCUUCUGUCAAGCUAGUUUCUGGAAACCAAAUUCAAUGAAAUCUUAUGUGGCAUAUGUUUUUUCAUGAUUAUUUUGAUCCUUUAAAAUUUCUUGUGGUGUAGUAUGCUCAGUGCCUGACUAAAAUCAGUGUUUGGUGUUUGGAUGAUUAGCAUUUGUGUGGUGUGUUACUGAAUUAUUGGUUAUUUGACAAGGGUAACUAGAACUAGUUUCACCAAGGGUCAGGUGUUUGAAUCACGAAAAUGCCCCAUUUUAUUAAUUAAUUAUAACAUCGAGUUACCAGGGCCCGUUUUCUAUUCUAAGUGACAACCUGGCUAAUUAUAUUCAGUCAUGCAUGUUAGGAAGUGUAUUAGAUUUUAAAUAAGUUUUUUAUGAUCUUUGCUAUCGUGUUAAGCUUUUAGCAUUCAUGGUGUUAUUAACAUGGUAAAUUACCUGAAAGGCUUGUGAAAAAUUAUGAAAUUUCUAUGGUUAGCAGGAGAUCUCUUUUUUCUUAAUUUCUCUUCAGGUUGGUUCAAGUUCCAUUCAGAAACUUUUACAAAGCUAUCCAAAACACAUUAACAAGUAUAAAAAAAGAGGUUAAUGUAUAUUUUGUUUUCCUGAAUAUGAUGGGGAGACGACAUUUGUUUAACAUAAAUUUUAUUUUAUUUUUUAUUUUAAAUCAGCUCUCCACUCUCUUCAGUUUUCAAAGGUAAAGCACAUGUUGACGCCAUGUUUUUAGAAAUUCUGAAGAAACUAAUAAUUGAAAGUUGUUAGUCAUCUCUUUAUUAAGUUUAGAUGGUUUUGGGGGUUAUAAUAUCUCAUAUGAGUAUUUUUUAAUGUACUUCAAUUUUUUCUUUUAAUAUCUUAAAUUUCAUAAGUUUAUGUUGCAAGGAAAAACAAUAUUUUACUUUUUUAUUAUGUACUAUGAUUUAAUUAUUAGACUUUUUGACUGCUUUCAUAAUGUUUAUAUUUUCAUUAAAUGAGACUAAUUGGAACUUUCAAAUUCAAGGGCAUUGCUUUGGACAUGGCCAAGACGCUUGCUUUUCCCCUCCCGCUCUUGGCAGUUGCUCAUCAACAACUAAUUCUUGGUAGCAAUAGUAAUCCAUUAUUUAAUUUGAAUAAAAAAAUCAGAUUUAAUAAUUGUGUUGUUGGUAGAAGCAACCUGGUUUGUUCUUACCUGUUCUUUUAAUAAAUUUCCAAUUUCAGGAUUGUCUCAUGCUCAUGCCAAUGAUGAUAAUCCCCCACUGGUCAAGGUUAUUUCUCUAUUUUGUUUUUCCUUUUUUUCUUUAUAUGUAUUGUUACUUUGCUUUUAGGUAAGAUUCAAUGGAAUAUGGGCUAUGGUUGUGUGUUUUUUUUAAAAAUAGAAAUCUCACAUCCCCCAAAAUAUGGAAAAACAAAAGCAAAUUGAAAAGCGGGAAAAAAAUAAUCCCUUUUGGUUUAGUCAUGGUGAUAUAUUCACUGAACUAUCAUGGUACAGGUUUGGGAAAAUGUACUGGGAGUGAAUAUCACAGAUGCAGCCAAUUUAGAAGCCUACAAACCAGAGGAACUUGCAAAACAAAUUACUGCCAAGUCCAAUUCAGUUACUCGAGUUGGUUUCAUUGGUCUUGGAGCAAUGGGAUUUGGCAUGGCAACGCAUCUGCUGAGAUCAAAUUUCACUGUUAUUGGUUAUGAUGUAAUCGCUCACUUUUGUCUUUAUUAAUACUGCCAAUUCCUUGCGAUGUUUUAUAUAGUAGUAGUUUUCUGUCCUGGUUUUACUUGCUGAGAUUGAAUUUCUGUGUUUUCUGUGCUGAAAUUGUCAAUUCUUUGGUUAAACAGUUUGAUGUAAAAAUUUGUAUCUCUGGCGUGGGUCAGUUUCUUCAUUGGUGCUAUGGGUACUAUAUCAAAAUAAAAUAGCACAUUUCAUCUUUUUAUUGUCCUUGAAAUCGCAUUAUAUAUCUCCAAAGAUGGCAAAUGGAAGGGGGGAAGGGGGGUGGGGUGUUCCGCAGAUGAUCUGAUCAUAGUGGAUAGUAAAUUUAUAGACAUUUAUUGGUUGCGUUUCAAAAGGAUUUGGUUGCUAUCUUUAGUGUGAUUAGCCUUUCAAUUAAUGAAGAAAGAAGACUUAGUAAACUGAGAGUACAUAAGUUUUUCUUUGAGAGGUGUGAAGUUUUUAGUAAUAAUGUCUUUAUAAGUUGCGAUCAGAUAGUCUCUUGACAUUGUCAAUGUGCUGUCUGCAUUUUCACAUGUGGAUUAGUGGGUGAACUGCACUGUCAUUGUUCCUCUGGCAAAUAUGAUUCUGUCCUCCUUCGACCUUCCAGUUGGCUUGGAAACCUGUUCAUGCAUGUGAAAUUUAAGUUUUGAUCGUGCUCUGUCAAUUUGUUUCGAAAAUGUUGUUGGCUCACUUGAUCAUCAAAAUUUCAGUCAUAAAAAAUGACCCUCCUCGUGACCAUCCUUUUGGUGGCCUGAAACCAUGUUGGUGUGAGUAUGCAGCCACAGGAUCAGAAUUGUUCAAUUUUGUGUACUGGUUUGGCCUCUUCACCUAAUAUCUUGAGCUCUGGGGUUGUUUCCACUGUAUGGGCCAUAUUUGAUUAAAUCUUCUGUUUGGCUUUCUUUUGAAGGUUGGUGCUAACUAAUAUUCAGUAUGUGUGUUGGUUGUGUAUGCUAUUAUGGGUUUAUAUAGUUGGAUCUCUCCUACCACUCCAAGAGAUGCAAGAACACGUCCAUUUAUGUAUGCAUAUUGUUUGAGAUGUUAAGUAAAUGAUUAUUGCCAUCGAAGAUAAAUAUAUUUUCAUCUUUACAUGGAUGACAGGUAUAUAGACCAACUCUUACUAAAUUUCAAAAUGUUGGGGGCUUGAUUGCAAACUCUCCAGCAGAAGCAGCUAAAGGUAAAUGUAGGCCAUGUUUAAAGGCCUGCUAAUCUAAGUUCAUAUGUUAGUAAAUAAAUAUAAAUAAAUGAUUGAUGUGCUGUGUGAUUGCACUUUGCAAUUAUGUUUCUUAUAUAAGAGACCUCACCCCAACAGCUUAUUUCGGUUCAUCUGUUUAUUGAUAGUUUUAGAAAUAUUGGGAAUUCAUAUUUUAUUAACUUUAAAUUUUGGCACCACUUGGAUGAGACAGUUCUAUAAGUUCAAUCUACUUGAAUUUAGUAAGCAUGAUCGAUAUAUGAAGCAUGAAAAUUUUCCGAACUGAUCAUUCUACACAGAGUUAUUGAUUGUUGUAUUUGUUAUCAACUUGUACAACUGAUAUUUGAGAUUGAGGUGCUCUGGCUUUGAAACCAACCGGUGAUGUGGGACGAAUUCACUUCAUGUUCUGUAUAAUUGACUUGUAAGUUUAGAUCCCCUGUAAAAGUUGGUGUUUACUAGACACUUUAAUUGCCAUGCUUUCAAAGUUAAAUAGAAGCACAGCAGUCCCAAACAUAUCCUAAAUUUGUUGUGACUUACCGGUAUAGCAAUGUGGGGUUAAAUAAUAUUGGUAAUAUUUUUUUUAUUAUUAUCAUAAAUAUUACUGUUGUGCUUGCAAAAACAUCUACAGGUAAUGGGAAUUCUUGAGCACUUCAUCUUGGUCCCUCUGACCAGUUAUAUACUUAUGACAACUGCAAGAGGAACAUAUAGAUUUGUUGAUAUGUGGUUUGAGAAUAUACUCUGCAUGAUUUCUUCAGAAAAUCCCAUAAUGUAUUUAAAUAUUUUGCAUCAUUAUUGGACAGUUGAACAUUAAUUGUUUGAAUCUGAUCAUUAUGUUCCACUUCAGAGAGUUUAUUUACAGACCAAGCACAUAUUCCUUUUUGACACCUUUUUCCGUUUCAGAUGUUGGUGUGCUGGUAAUCAUGGUCACUAAUGAAGCUCAAGCUGAGUCUGUUUUAUAUGGAGAUCUUGGUGCAGUUUCAGGUAAUUGAAGCUUGUCAAUUUAUUGUCCAUGUAUAUUCAGUUUCAUUAACAGUGAUUUAUUGUUUCUUAUAGCUCUUUCAUCUGGAGCUUCAAUAAUCCUUUCAUCCACUGUCUCUCCUGGAUUCGUGAGCCAAUUAGAACGGCGUUUGCAAUGUAUGUCCUUUAUUUGACAUAAUUAUCAAAAAACUGUUAUUAUUAUUAUUAUUAUUAUCUUUUAUUUAUAUCCAAAAUCUUGCUUCUGUGCAUAUAUCAAUGUUUUAUUAUUCAAAUUGCAGUCCUCACACCUAAAGUUACCUUCUCUAAAAGAGUUUUAAGUUACAUUGAGCGCCAAAGCUUUAUAGGUUAUUCAUGAUAAUUUCAUCAACAAUCUUUAUGGAGCAAGAUGCCAUGUUUUUGGUUUCUUGUUGCAUAUGCUCUUGCGCUAGAUUUGAUUCUUGAGAAAUAUCCAAACAAAUUGAUUGCUUAUCACUUGUGGGUCUAUUUGUUACAAAGAUCCUAGAAAAACCUAGAAAGAAUUUCUUAAGUCAUCUCAAGCCUAUGCAGUGCCUAUCAUUCAUAGGCGCCAUCUCUGGUGUAUGUCUUACAAGAGCAAGGUGGUAGGAAGGUGAACUGAUUGUGAUCUUUAACCUUGUACCUUUUUCUUUAUUCGGCCUAAUUGGGAGUUAGUUUUAGGGAUAUAGGCGUAUAUCCUGUUCAUUUAUGUACAUGGUUGGGUGGCCUUUUGGGGUUCAAAUCAUACGUUUGAGGAUUGAUACCAUAUUGUAAGCUUUAAUUGCUCUUUUGUUGAUUCCUUGUCCACUGCUUAAGUGUAAUACUUCUGUUAUAUAUCAAUAUAAUGGACAUAAUUUUUUAUAAAAUAAAUUCCAUAUUCCAUCUUAUCAUGCCCCAAUGUAUUCUUAUCAUCCUUUGGUUUCCUUAUAUGGUACAUUGUCUUAUUUUAUCAUAGUUAGUAAGAAUCUAAAUGUUAUGUCACCCCUCCUUAUUUAAUCUUUUGCAACAAUUUUUAAGAAUUUGUCACCUGAGGAGCGUGCUAUGUGCAAAAGAAUCCUCAAGAGGAACCAUUUGGAUGUGUGGAAGAAAGCUGAAGCUAACUCUUAUCCAAUCUAUUCUCUCCCGCCUCCCUACUUAUUUUGUGGGAACUGGGGGGUGUAGGUGGGGGUGUUUUUGUUUUGGGGUUUUUUUUUUUUUCGGGGGUUGGGGGGGUGGUGUUAAAAAAAGGUUGUCGCCUUUAGAAGUUAAUUCUCUUGGGCAUUGUGUUAUGAAAAGAAAGCAAUGGGUGCAAAAAAAUGGUUGGGAUGUUGCUAUAAUAGUUAGGGGGAGCAGUGAAUGCCCUUUGGUGUUUAUUUCAAAGGGGCAAAUAAAUUAUUUUAAUCAAUAUUAUGUUGAUGGUCGGUAAUGGGCCGAUAAUUAGACUUUGGGAGGAUUGUUCGAUAAGGGAGGUUACUCUUUCUGAUCUUCUUCUUUGAUUAUACAGACUCUCUCUAGGUCAUAAUUGUUCUAUAGCUCGCAUGUUAACUAUUUUGCUCUACGACAGAGUUAGGAUAUAAGAUCUUUAGGAAUUUGAAUGAUAGAGAAACUUAGUGUGUUGAGAUGCUUGGGUUUCUACAAGAGGUUUCUCUCUGUGAUCUCAUAGAGGAUAAGAGAGUUUGGAUUCGAAACAAAUCAAGGUGUUUCUGAGCUAAGUCUUACUUUCUUAAUCUCAUUGAUAAACUCAAUGCCUUAUCCUUUUUACCAUCCUACCUGAUUUGGAGAGCUAAAAUCCCCACCAAAGUGAAGAUAAUGUAUGGUUUGUCGCUCAUAGAAAUCAACACCUAUGACAUGGUUUAGAGAAAAAGACCCAAUAUGGCUAUGUCUCUAGAUUGGUGUGUUUUAUGUAAAAGCUUAUCACAGAAUGUGAUAAUUUGUUUCUGUUGUUUACCCAGUAGCCCCUGCGUUUUGUUAUUCCCUCUUAUUGGAAAGAUUUUUGGCCUUAAAAUGAAGAGGAAAAGUAGUAGUAUUUUGCGACUGUGCAGGCUUGGUAAUUUUUUGGGUCUUGUAAAAUGUAAAGAACCCGAGAAUCUCUGAUAACAAUGUUGGGGAAGAUCCUUUGCUUAUAUGGGAAUAAGUGAAGUUCUGGGCUUCUGUUACUGCAGAACUCAAAGAUCUCUCUUUCUUCUUUACUUCGCUUAAUUGGGAGGCAGUUGUAUCCUGAAAGGGUCUGUAUACAUGAGUUGUGUUGUUUUUGGGGGAUUUUUCUCCAUGUGGAGAUUUGAGUAGAUUGUUACAGUUUUUUUCUUCAUGUUUGGGACUUCUCGUCCCUUUUUUUUAUUGGCAUUUGUAGUUGAUAAACUCUUAUUUAUCUCUGUCAUAGUUUGAUAGGACUUAGGGCUAAAUUAGGGUUGAUUUUUAUUGAUUAAAUCAAAAGAAAGAACAAUCCUGACCUACAAUUCGAGAGGUAGGUCAAUCUCUUAUAAACUCCUAAUUACUCCUAACUCUAGACAAAACUCAACAUAAACCCUAAAUGACUUCUUAAUCUCUUAUUUAUACUUGAACCCUAAUUAAUAAUAAAAUUACUAAAUUGCCUGCUGCCCCUUCUUCCUCAGCUUCUUCCCCGCCUUCCUCCUCAUCACACACUGUCAGGACUUGUAGUGAUUUGUCCUUACGUUGAUGUCGCGGAGAAAAUUUCUCAUCGCAUCGAAAACACAACCCCUUCGUCCUUUUGUCCUGAAUCUCCGUCUCUGUGAGGCGUUUGAAAGUCACCCCCGGUCAUGCCCCACUAACCUGAUCCCUUUGGGAAUCUCUUUGUAAUCCCAUUAUUUGCGUUUUCUGUCUUCCCGAUGGUGUGCUUUGGAACUCUCGCUGAAACCCCAAGGUCUAGGUUUUUUGUCCUACCAAAGGUGUGCUGUUUUGGUAUGAAAAACUGACUGAAUUGCUCCUAUUAACCUAUUCUGCCGUGUUCUUAUCCGCAAUCAUCUGUGCCAACUCCAUUGUCUCCCCCAAUCCUCUCGGCCUUAGCAAGCGUAGCGAGGCUCGAAUUUCUGGCUUCAGCCUCUUCAUAAAAUUCCCUUCCAAUACCGCCUCUAGGAUUCCCCCUAGCUGCCCGAUAGCAACUCAAACUUCUCUUUAUACUCCAUAACCGUUCUCUCCUGGGUCAGGGCUAAAAACUCUUCAUGCAAAUCUCCCUCUUGAGUGGCCCGCAACCUCUCCAACAGCCAGUCCUUAAAUUCACCCCACGACUUCAAUGGUUGUCGUUGUUCCCGCCAUUGAAACCACGCAAGAGUCUUUCCCUCCAAACAUAACGCCGUUGCCGUCAGUUUUUCCCUUUCUGAGAGUCCAUUGAUGGCGAAAUAGCGCUCUACCAUAUACACCCAUCCGUAGGCAUCCUCGCCUUCGAAAAUGGGCAUUUUCAGUUUCCUUAUCCUAGAAUUUGCUCCAAAUUAAGUCAGCCCCACCCAAUUUCACGCCAUCGAAGAUCUCCAACCUCCCGAAUCUACUCUAGUUUCUGCAAAUCCCGAAGACCCAGCCCAAAAUUCUCCUUGCCCAGCCCCAUAUUAGGCUGAAAUUCCUUGCCCAGUUGCAUUCUGGUCAUAACCGCUCCCUCUCUCGCUGAUAACCCCUCCUCCUAGCCAUCCGCCCCCAAAUUCGACCUGUCCAGACCCCAAACCGGCCUGCCCCGGCCCACAGUAGCCUUGCCCAGCCUGCCUUGGCCAAAAAUGGCCUUGCCCAGCCCAAAAUUCGGAUUGCCCAGGCCAUGCAUCAACCCCAAACGCCGCCGAGUCGCCAAGCCCGGCCACCCACCACUCCCGCGCGGCCCAUUCCGGUGCCGCAAUGACAAUUCCCAACCCUAAAUUGCCGCCUCCAGCCGCGUAACCCUCAGAUCCACCGCUCUCAGCCGCAACCCAGCCUCCUUCGCCAUGCCCGACGCCAGGAAAGGCUCACUUAGGCCGUAAUUCCCUUGGGCCGACCUCCCCACCACCAAAUCUGCCGUGAAUUGAUGCCCCUAACUGUGUGAGACUGGUAGUUUUCGGCCCUCCGCCCUCUGUGCCGUUGCCGAGCACGAGUUCUGUGUCACCAGAUCAUUCUCCCGCCACGCUGCCUUGGCCUGUUGAUAUUGUCGGUGGUGGGUUGAGGUGGAGUUUCGUCAAUUUGAGCAACAUGGCUUCAAGGGAUGAAAAUUGUUGUUGAACGUUAUUAAAUCGCUCGUCAAUGGUGGGCCUUGAGCGGUCCAAUCUCCGCUUUCAGUUUUUCUUCAAGUGCGUCCACUUUCUUUGCUGCCAUUGUCCUAGGAUUCUUGCCCUGAUACCAUUUUGAUAGGAGUUAGGGCUAAGUUAGGGCUGAUUUUUAUUGAUUAAAUCAAACGAAGGAACAAUCUUGACCUAUAAUUCGAGAGGUAGGUCAAUCUCUCCCAAACUCCUAAUUACUCCUAACACUAGACAAAAUUCAACAUAAAUCCUAAAUGACUCCUUAAUCUCUUAUUUAUACUUGAAUCCUAAUUAAUAAUAAAAUUACUAAACUGCCCCUGCCCCUUUAUAUUUCCGCUUAACACAAAUUUUCAUUGGUCUAAACAUAGUUUAAUAUAUUAUCUGUCAUUUUUUCUGUAAUUCUUGAGUUCUAUAAUAUUUUCCUUUAGUUUACUUUCAUGUUUCUGGCUAAUGUUCGCUUGUCUACAAUUGCAAUAGUUGAAGGGAAGGAUUUGAAAUUGGUAGAUGCUCCUGUUUCUGGUGGUGUUAAAAGGGCAUCCAUGGGAGAACUGACGGUGCGCAAAGACCUUUCCUUUAAGGAAAAUUAAUUUUGUUGACUAAAAUGUAGUUUUUAUUAUAUAUUUUGUUUAUUAGAUAAUGGCUGCUGGCACGGAAGAAUCGCUUAAAAGUACGGGUUCAGUCCUCUCAGGUGAGGAGCAUGCAGUAUAAAAUCUAUUCUUGCUGGAAAGAAAUCUAAAUUUCCAUGGGCUGAUCCUUGGUGGUUUACCAUUAACAGCAUUAAGUGAGAAGCUUUAUGUCAUUAAAGGGGGCUGUGGUGCUGGAAGGUAUAUCUCAAUUGCAUUAUCAUUUAAUUAGAAUAUUUGGUCUGCUGGGAAUGAUUUUCAUUUUACAUUUUUCUUGUGUAAUAUUCUCUAGUGGCGUAAAGAUGGCUAAUCAGUUGCUUGCUGGAGUCCAUAUUGCAUCAGCUGCCGAGGCCAUGGCUUUUGGAGCUCGAUUAGGUCUGAAUACCAGAGUUUUGUUCAACAUCAUCACCGACAGUGGAGGAAGUUCUUGGUAUGUGUCAUACACAAAUAAUUAAACUGAGGGAAAUUAUCAGCCAUCCACCCAAAAAUUGCCAUGUUAUAAAAAAUGCUACAAAAGUUUGAAUUUGUUCAAUUUCCACCCAUUAUUUGCAAUUUGUAUCAGUUGCCACCAAAAAGAUAGAAUUACCCUUACAAAAUAACCACCACUAUAAUUGUGUUUGCUUUUGUUUUGUCUUUUUGUAAGGGUAAUUAUGUCGUUUUAGUGAAUGGUUGAUACAAUUUUUGUACAUUGGGUGCAAAAUUAAACAAAUUCAAAUUUCUGUAAUAUUUUUAAUAUUCUAAUAUUUCAUUGAUUCUUGAGAAUACCGGAAUAAAGGAGGUUUGCUGGUAGUUGGGGGCCAGAUUUGUAAUACCAAGUGUUUAGCUCUAAUACCAAACUGAUGCAGUAGAAAUUUAUUGUUCUAAUUAGGGGUGGGCAAAUUGGGUUUCGAUUCGGGUUGUUCGGAUUUCGGGUUGGAUAAGGUUGAAAAUGCAGGUCAAGAUUUCGGUGUGGAUUCUAAUUCGGGUUACAACCUAUUCCAAAAUUUAAUUCAUAUCCCACCCAGGCAACGCCUAAAAUUCCAAAAUCAAACACCAGCCCAACUCCAGAUGCAAAAAUGAAAACAAAAAUGACACCAAAUGACCACAUAUAUAAUACAUUAAUACCCAUCACCAUUAACACUCAAUACAACAACAAUUACAAUGUUAAGAAACCGAAUCAGGGACAAGUACAAAAACUCGUUACACAAAAGAAGAUUGAACAGUUUCAGUGCCAGUAAUGUCUCUUACCCAUGCCCAAAAGAAGAUUGAUUUACAAACAACCAUUCAUACACCAUUUGGAACUGCAUACAUAAACUUGUGCAGCUGAUGACCGUGAAUGAAGCCGGAGGCAGUGACGGCAGCAGUUGGAGCAGACGCAAACGACUCAAGAUCGGCUCAAGGCGACAGUAGCUUGAAGUCUUGAAUGCGGAACCAAAUCGACUCAAGGGAGGGGGAAGGGCUAGAAGCUGCAAGCCUGCAAUGCCGGUGCUCUGAACGGAAUCAACAGCAGCAGUGGCACAUGGGUAUGUCGUGUGUGAGUGUCUAUGCUCACUACUACGUGCUGGGUGUUCUGUUAUGGAGCGCAAAUGUGAAAGCGCAAAGAAGAGGAAUUAGGGAUUUGAGGGAAAGGAAGCAACGUUGGUGUGUGUGUGUGUAUAGGCUAACCCGAUCGGGUUUUGAUUUCGGUUCGGG